ACCUGCUUUUAUAUCUCCAGGGAGCACCUGGCUUUCUACACUUUACAGUCAAAUCACUUAGCAAGCUAAGCAGGAAUGGGUUAGGCUAGUACUUGGAUGGGAGACUGCAGAGGAGUACUAGUGCUGCAGGAA
rnacentral:rRNA from 1 species